rnacentral:lncRNA from 1 species
UUUAGAAGGAAAUACUCAUGCAAUGGAUUUCCAUGAGGGUCGUCCUCUGUGAACUGGGAGUGCUUUAAUGUGGAAGAUGUUGAGCCAGACCCAGAAAACCCUAGGCCAAUGAGGAACAUGGAAGUCAGGAAAAGAAGAGGCAAAUGUGAAGGCCAAAACCUAAACAACAUCUAUCCAUCUCACUCCCAUUUGCCUCCAAGUAUGAAAGCCCUUAAAUCGGGCUUUUCAAGCAUGGCACCAAUUUGCACUCCAAAUGUUCCCUGCACAUUAGAGUACUCCAUUCUGAACACUAGGCCAUGGUGCGAACUGCUUGUGCAAUUAAGGGAAUUCGUGGAUGCAGCUGGAAGCAACUUUUUUGUCAUCUGUCUUCACCUCUUUUGCAGGUAAAGGUGCAAGACCUCAUCUACCCAUUACCAGCUUGUAUUUUCUCCUCUAUCUGACCUCAUUGCUCUCACAUACUGUAUCCCAGAAUCAAAUCCCAAGAUGAUGGAAGAGUGCUAUUUCAGGAUGUCAAUCACUAGCUCAACUGGGAACGAAAUUUGAGGAAAAUUUAAGGGGCCCUGCAGACAGGACUGCUAAUGCUUUUUUCCCAUGUUUCCAUGGGACAAUGAAACACUAGGAGGUGUCUCUUUUAAGUUUUGUGUGCCUCUCUUCUAUCUAGGGGAGUGGCUUUUUUUCUAGGGGGAAUUGAUUUGGAUUCCAGGAGGUAUCAGCCAGCCUUCCAGUGCACUGCAGAUUCAUAACCCACAGAAAUAUAAAUAACAUGGAUCCCUUCAGCCCAAAAAGAGCCACACAGACAGGCAAGCAAAAGGUUGGGACACAAACAAAAAAGAAGCACUGUAGUGCAUCGGUCACAUUUCUGUAAGCAGACUCCCUUUACAGGAACAAACACACAGACACACACACACACAAACACACAAAGCUACUCACACACAGACAUCCAACAUUCACAACACUCCCACAGAAACACACAACCCAGCAGCUUCUGAGACUGUGUGGUUGUGCAGAAAACCCCACCUGGGAGACAGCAACCAUGAAGAACACAGGUGGGCUGUACCUAGAAAUCACAGUGGGGCAAGUUUCUAAAGGACCCAUGCCUACAAGGUCUAGGCCAGCCUGAGGCAUCCUGCAGAUCCUUUUGGAUACUUAGGGAUGUCACAGUUUAUUUCUGGGACUCUGCUUAAUGUUUCUUCAGGCUGGCUCAUGUCUUCCCUUUCCUAGGAUCGUGGAACAAUUCCUUCGAUCCCACAGAGAAGACAGGUGAGAGUCCACUGCCUACGCACCUACCUGGAGGUUUCCUUCUCCAAACAGCCGCUGAAACUUUUUUCUAGGCAACGGUGGCAUUCAUUGUGAAGCUAACCAGAGUUCAACCUCAGGCCUGGUCCCUUGAGACUACUGCAGGUUCAUUCAGGAGACAGGCUGAGGCACCUGUCUCUCAGAGCUGGCAGCCUGCCUAAGCAGAGGAAAAUGGUAAGGCAGAGCCGGCCUGGCGUCCCAAAAAAAGUCUGCCUGCGAUAACCCCUUGUGGGAUGCUAAAGCUCUCAACCUCGGGGGAUUUUCAUGCUGCCUCUGUCAUCAGGUCAUGCAAGAAGAGGUGUUUCGAUACUGUGAGGUGGUCUCUGGAAACUGCUUUUCUGACUCCAUUUCCAGAAGACUCUAUGUGCAAAAAUCUGCUUCCACGGGGAUAGGAAUGUCAUCUGGUGAAGUUGAGGGACCCCAUCUAUUUCUCACCAGAUUGUAUCCUCACCUCUAUCUGAUCUUGUUGCUGUUCACAUUUUAUGUCCCAAGAUAAAGUCCCAAUAUGAUGGAAGAGGCCUUCCUCAUGACUUGAAGCACCUACUCAUCUGGGGAAAAUUUAGGUGAAUUCAAGUGGCCCUGUGGACAGGACUAGUAGUGUCUCUCCCUGGGUUGGUCAUAUGACAAUAAAAUCCUAAGAAAGGUU